UACGGAGGGUGCAAGCGUUAUCCGGAUUCACUGGGGUUAAAGGGUGCGUAGGUGGGCAAGUAAGUCAGUGGUGAAAUCUCCGGGCUUAACCCGGAAACUGCCAUUGAUACUAUUUGUCUUGAAUACUGUGGAGGUCAGCGGAAUAUGUCAUGUAGCGGUGAAAUGCUUAGAUAUGACAUAGAACACCUAUUGCGAAGGCAGCUGACUACGCGAAUAUUGACGCUGAGGCACGAAAGCGUGGGGAUCAAACAGG
rnacentral:rRNA from 1 species